rnacentral:ncRNA from 1 species
CAACCAUAAAUGGGGUGCUUACUCAAAUAAAAGUAGGCUGAGAUGAUACCCAGAGGCUUUACCUCACACCUGAUCCGGUUAGUACUGGCGUAGGGAUUUUGUGCGACACAACUU